GGCGCUAUAGCCAAGUGGUUACGGCGACAGAUUAGAAUCAACGGGUUAUCAUAUAUAUGACCAUAUCUGUUCCUCUUUGAGGGCGCAGGUUCAAAUCCUGCUGGCGUCG